rnacentral:rRNA from 1 species
GAGGGGUGCAAGCGUUGUUCGGAAUUACUGGGCGUAAAGGGAGCGUAGGCGGAGAUUCAAGCGGAUUGUAUAAUCCCGGGGCCCAACCCCGGCUCUGCAGUCCGAACUGGAUCUCUUGGAUAGUUCAGGGGCAGGCGGAAUUCCUGGUGUAGCGGUGGAAUGCGUAGAGAUCAGGAAGAACACCGAUGGCGAAGGCAGCCUGCUGGGGACUCAUCGACGCUGAGGCUCGAAAGUGCGGGUAGCAAACAGGAUUAGAUACCCUGGUAGUCCGCACCGUAAACAAUGCAUACUGGGUGUCCGGGGGUUCCCCCGGGUACCGUAGCCAACGCGUUAAGUAUGCCGCCUGGGGAGUACGUACGCAAGUAUG